UUCUCCUACAUCUACAUCAUUUAUGACACAAGGAAGAGUCAAAGCUCCUGAAUCCUCCAGUUUCUGCGGAUGGUUCUUCUUCCUGGGUUUAACCAACUGCUCCUGAUUUUCUUCAUAACCCAGAUCAAUUAACUUUCCCAGAUAGUAUUUGAUCUUCUCAUCAUAUUCAGAAGUUUGCGAAGAUGUUCUAGGAUUAAUGGGUACCUUAUUAAGAAUAUUACAGAGUGAUUCUUUAAUACCUUCCUUCUCUUUUUCUCUCUCUGCUUUCUUCUCUUCGCCUCUCUUAUGCUUAUUAUGCUUCUGAUCUCAAUUGUUUCCUCCUUUGGCUUCCUUUUUCUCCUUGUUAUAACAACUUUGCACUCCUCUUUUGGGUUGACUUCAGUGUUAGCUCGAAAUUGAUUUUUUUCCGUGGUUUCGACCCUCUUAGACAGCUGUC
rnacentral:lncRNA from 1 species